UAGGGAAUUUUCCGCAAUGGACGCAAGUCUGACGGAGCAACGCCGCGAGAGUGAAGAAGGAUUUCGGUUCGUAAAACUCUGUUGUUAGAGAAGAACAGCGCAUAGAGUAACUGUUAUGCGUGUGACGGUAUCUAACCAGAAAGCCACGGCUAACUACGUGCCAGCAGCCGCGGUAAUACGUAGGUGGCAAGCGUUGUCCGGAUUUAUUGGGCGUAAAGCGAGCGCAGGCGGUCAAUUAAGUCUGAUGUGAAAGCCCCCGGCUCAACCGGGGAGGGUCAUUGGAAACUGGUUGACUUGAGUGCAGAAGAGGAGAGUGGAAUUCCAUGUGUAGCGGUGAAAUGCGUAGAUAUAUGGGGGAACACCAGUGGCGAAGGCGACUCUCUGGUCUGUAACUGACGCUGAGGCUCGAAAGCGUGGGUAGCAAACAGG
rnacentral:rRNA from 1 species